rnacentral:rRNA from 1 species
AUACGGAGGGUGCAAGCGUUACUCGGAAUCACUGGGCGUAAAGCGCGCGUAGGUGGAUCAAUUAGUUGAGGGUGAAAUCCCGGGGCUCAACCUCGGAACUGCCUUCAAUACUGUUGAUCUUGAGACCGAGAGAGGUGAGUGGAAUUCCUAGUGUAGAGGUGAAAUUCGUAGAUAUUAGGAAGAACACCAGUGGCGAAGGCGGCUCACUGGCUCGGUACUGACGCUGAGGUGCGAAAGCGUGGGGAGCAACCAGGAUUAGAAACCCUAGUAGUCC